ACAUUCUAUGAUUCUAUGAUUCUAUGAUACUUGGUAGAACAAGAAUUAGUUUUGCUAGACCAGGAAUGUAGACCACACGUGACUUACAGUCCACAGCCUGCGUUCUGUGGAAGUCCAGAGCCUGGAAAAUACAGCAUUUUUCAUCUUUUUAAAGUGCUCACCACUUUUUUCCCCCCAGGAAUUCAAAACUAGCUGUUCAGUUUCUUACUGUGUUAACACCAUCUAUUACAAUUUGUGGCUUUCCUUCCUUUUACUUAGGCCAGCUCCCUGUUUUUAACUGCUUUCAACCUGAGUUGAAAUGAGAUAGUAUUGCUGGCCAGAGCAUAGCACUCCUUAAAACAAAAGGGGCAGAACAUUACACUGUGUAUGUAAGUCCUGAAAGAUCCAAAUUUCUCUCAAUUGUCAUUUAAUGUUAUGAAAAAACUUUUUUCACUACAUUAACAGAGCAGUUAAAAAAAUCCAGAUGCACUGGAGAGCAAAGUGGGAAUUUUUUCACCUUUCUUUUCUUGUAGUGCACAUAUUCUAGGAAAUCCUAAAACAUAUUUUUCCAGCCAAUGAAGUCAAAACAAAGAAGCUUUUGCAGUGCUCAAUUUUAAAAAUAGCAUGUAGGCUGGCAGAACACAGUCUACAUAGGAUUAAGCAGGGAGCACUUUGUAUAUUUGAACCCUUAGCUCUUCUCUCAUUCAUUUUCUUUUAUACUAUUUGCUGGUGAACACUGUGGAUCUUUGUGGAAAUCAUCCACGUGCUAUUCAACAAUCCAUAUAUUAUGGUUCUGUCCCUGACCGUGUGUGCUCACACUCGCUCACUCUGCUUUCCCUUCCACUAGUGCUUAAGGCAGAAUGUGGGUAUCUGCCAGUCACUAGCCCUGUAGCUUUCCCCUUGUCAGAAACUAAUUUUAGAUUUACUUAUCCCAAGACAAAAUAGAAAUUUGAUUCUGUUCCCAUGAGGAUUCUGUUGCUUGGAAAGGACAAAUCUGUAAUUUGUGAACCUUCUAACUUUUUAGUUGCCUCUGGUUCUGCAACGGUUUUGCUUUCACUAUUGUAUUUCAGUAGACUCAGUACAGGAUAGGUUUAAAACAGACCAUGUUGCAACCUUUGUGCUCUUCUAACAGAGCAUGGGAGGGGUGUAUGCUUUGUUUUGGAGGAACGUGUUGUUGCUGAAGACUGCCUUAAAGUGAAAAUGGCAUCUUGAGAUGUUUGUAAGCAUAUAGAUUAGAUUGCUAGGUAUCAAGUGCUUUGUGCCAAGAGGACAGUUGCGUUGCACAAAGGAUAAUUUCUCUUGGCAGUAUUUCUUUCUGUGAGAGUGUGUCACACCAAAACGUGAAGGUUCUCAAACCUGCUCCCAGAUCAUGAAUACUGUUUGCAGUUUGGGUAGUUAGAUAAAAUACUGUGUUGUAAUGUGGCGUCUUUGAGAAGGAAGUAGAGAAAACACUGGUAGGAGAAAGCAGCCCAUCCGAGUUUGCACAGCUGGAACCAGAAAAAGCAAGAGUUGCAGCAGUGGGCAGGAGCACUAAGAACUGUUACUUCUAGCUGGCUUGAAGGAAGAACUGAGCAAGAGAGAAAAUUCAAAAGAUUAGUAGAUAGAUGGAGUCAGAUGGAAGAGAAUUAAUUUUUAUAUAUGGAAUAAGAAGUUUUGGAUUAAGAAGCCCCAUCCCUGCAGCCACUUUGCAGUGAGAAUAUCACUGCCUGACUGCAAGAAGAUGUAUUCUGCUUUUGUGUUUCCAAAAUCAAGUCUAGUAUGUCAUGUCAAUUUAGUAUUGUCUAGCACUUUUCUCAGUGAGCCAUCUGUAGAAAAUUACCUUGAAAGAGGAUCUUUUUCUGUAUCCUAAGAAUUUCCUGUGCCAACCCGUAGGUCCAUAAUGAAGAGGAGUGGGAAUAGGACUAUCAGCCCACGUUUGCUAAUGCUGCCAUAAAGCUGGCACAGUUGGAAAACAGCAGCUACCCCGUGACUUUGAAGAACAGGUGGAAACCGUGACAUAGUUGUUGAGCCAAUAGUAUUUCACAAGCAAGCAGACGCCCAGCCGUAGCUAUUGCUCAUAAAUACCCGUAGCCAGCGUGCUGAGGGAUAUGAAUAAGCAUCAGUCAGUUGGCUAGUAGCAGGCACUGCUGAAGUGCCAUUAUAAUCAAUGUAAAUGGCAUGCUAUUUAAAAAGAAAAACGUUAACCAACCUGGCAUAGUAAAAUCGAAGGACUGCUAAUUGUAAUUUAUUAGAAUAGCUAUCCUGCAGUUCAGAGCUGCUGUUCAGUUCAUCUUGCAAACUUGAAUCACUUUUGUUUCCAGAAGAUGCAGGUAAUUGCUCAGGGCUUAGUUUGGGUUUGUUCAGUGCAGCGAGAUCUCUGUCAUUUGACUCCUGCACAGUAUAAAACCCCUAAAUGAUAGUAGUGUUUAAACUUUUGAAGGCAUUACUGUAGUUUUUGGAUAAUUUAAGUGCAUUAGGCCUAUACAAAAUUAAACCUGCCAUUUUUAUGUGGGUAUGUUUUCUAUGUGUACAUAGGAAAGUGAUACAUCAUAUAGUUAAGUCUAAGUUCAAAUAACUCCCCCUCCAAAAAUAAAUCCUCUAUAAAUAAUGAGACUUACGAACUAGUUUAGUUAGAACUGAAGAUGAAAAAUUGUUUAAGGAAGAAGAACUUCACUAGGAAGGACUUAUCGCUUGUUUGUUACCUGUUGCCAUUGAGCGCAUACGGUGUUUUUGUGGUCUGAGACUUUAUCUGCAUUCUCAUACUCUUUUUUUUUUUUUUUUUAAACCUGGCCUACUAGAUGUUUUGCAGUUUCUUGAAUUCAGGGGUUGGGCUUUAGAGCAGAGCACUUGUGCUUUGUUUCCAUGGCUUCUUCAGCAAGUCCAAAUAGGCUUAAACUCCUGUUGAUCAUUUUAUAGGGAAGUAAUUGCUACACAUGAAGUCUUCCCAAAACAUCUAAGUGGCAUAUACAAGAGCAAGCCAAAUUUAAGACAAAAUCAGUGUGAAGCAAGUGGAACUGGCCCUAUAGGCCAUUUGCUUCUGGAAUCCACUUUUUUCUUUCCUUUCUUUGUCUUCCCCACCGUGGGUAGCUCCAUUCAUACGUGGACAGCUGCAUUCAAUUCUUGCUGCUCACUUCAUGCCACUUACCUCAUAAUCCAGACCAGAGGUUAACGUAUUCAAGCUCAGUGAGGAAAAGUGUAGAGGCAUAUAGGUAAACAGAGUCCCACAUAAUUGUAAAACUCUAUAAAAAUCUCCAGUCUCUAUGUUCUGGGAUAUGUGCUGGGAUUUUGGAUAUUUAGCCUUCUUGCUAAAGAACUUGUUUCAGCAGUGAUACGUAAAACAAACACGACAAGAAAUGUUGAUGGUCCUGCUUGUACAGAAGACUUAAUAGGAAGCAAGCAAAAGUGAGCUUUACAGUCAGAUUUGAAGGAGCAAAAUGUGAUAGCUUGGGAAAUGUGUUCUACUGACAACUGAAGGGCCCUAGAUGCAGCUAUUUUGUAAUUCAGUAUGCUAAUGACUUCAAAGUGACCUGUGCUCCACUCUGCUGCAAAUAGAUUUCUUUGUAUUGGUACACACAGGCUUCUGCUUUCUGGUCCAUAGCCUUAUUCAUUAAUCCUUACUGACAUCUAUUAUUGAAUUUGCCUUCUCUAAACAGUUGGUUUCCAUCUCUGUUAUUAAAUCUCCAUCCUAGCAAAUAGAUAAAAAUUACCUUUAGAACACAGCCUAGUGAAGACACGAGCUAGUGACUCAGACAUUCUUUUUCCUAAAGACAGUACCCCUACUGUUUAAAUAUGAUUUUUUUUUUUUUUGUAGUUGAUAUUCACAUGUGUGUUUGGAUCUGACAACAGUUUUGUUCUCUUGGUGAGGGAAUUUUUCCUGGAAGGCUACAAAAGCCCAUUAAUAGACCCUCACAAUGCAGUGCUGAGGAGCGUGCAUGCAUGAACUACAAGUCUGCCAGCUUUUUGUGAGGCUCUGCAGGGGGCACUACACGGAAAUAAAGCCUUUCAGGCCCUUUUAAUGUAGUUCUGACCUUCCACUCUAUAUUAAACAGAUGACUGGAACCAGAAAGAUAGGUCAUUGUGAUUGCGGUUAAUAUUUGUAAGGACCAAAGCAGCUCUCAGCCUUUGAGGUAGAAGGGAAUCAUCUUAAGUGUGAAAAUGUAUCAUCGCAAGAAUGGGGAGGAUCAAAGGAAGGCCAGCUGGUGCUCGGACAUCUUUUCAUAACCUUUAUUACAAUGCUAGAAUACACUAACCUCAAUGGGAAGUCCAUUCAAUUUGUGUAUUUCAAAUAGAUAAUCUGUAUUCUGGUGAAACAAAGCAACCUAAAAAAGCCCCUUCUAAAAAGGGGGUGGUUGACACAAAUUUGCCUAUGAUUUAAUCAUACUGGUUUUCUAAAAUCAGCUUAGCUUUUUCAAUGCAAAUAUAUGAAUGUAUGACAUGCUUAUUUUGGAAGUGUCUGAAAAUUUGUAAAUUUAGGUACAGAGAGUUCUAGCUGAUUUUACUGUGGUUUACUUCCACUUCUGAAUAAAGGCCCUCUGCAUUUUGCCAUGCACAAAACGUGAGGCACAAUAUUUCAGGGAAAAACUAUACAGAGCAUUAAGUCGUCCAGGAGGUAUUUAUAUGUGGAGGCAUGAAAAGGCCAAGAUUAAAGCUGACUAGUGUUGACAAACAGCAAAAUUUAAGCUUGGGCUUCCAGGGAACAUCCUACCACUCUAAGUAUAUAUGAAAUUAGCAAUAUCAAAGCAGAAAAUGAAUGAAGAUUGCUGUUUAGAGGUAGGCUGUUACAGUAAAGUCCUGUGUCCGCAGGUUGAGGGCUGUGCUCCCAGAUCUGUGCUAAAUGGGUAGGGAAAAGCAGUGGGACUGUAGGCAUAGACCAGAGGUGAGCACUUCUGCUGUGGUAUUUUUUAGAUAGGCAAUACUGGGGAUCACUUGAACAUCAAAGUUCAAACUCAAGUGUUAAAUGGUUUAGUUAUUACUUUCAGAUUGGGAUUUCAAUCAAUCACUUUCUGAAUUUGUUCCAUGGAUUCAGAAUGGGGAAAGUAUCCCUUCUACUCAUUGAGUAGGGACUUACUUCCAACCAACUUUAUUAAACGUUUUGGCUAAAGAUUGACACCUAUUUAAGAAUUGCAUUAUUUAUGGAGUUAGGCCGUGACAGGAAAGUCAGCAGUUAGUCUCUUAAUACUGCAAAACACCAAAUGGGCAAACGACUAUUGCCUUUUCCUACCCAGAAAGCGACGGCAGACAGUCAGCGCGUCAGCUGAGUAAUGACUGCAGCCUGUGAAACAAGUCUGAGGGGCGCUGAAGUUCUGACAGCUUCAGGAGAUGCAACAACUUUGUUUCAAUUCAAAAGUCAUUAAAAUCAUUCCUAAGUUCUAAAGCUCAGAAGAAAAGAAGGAUGACUGCUGGGGCCCUAGGGACCCAAGGAUCUUCGCCAGGUGCCUGGAAGGCCUUUGGAAUCAUCCAGUAACAAGUCAAAUAGGAAGAAAAGUGUAUUUUGGUCUUCUCCCAUUGGCUAGUUAAGCGAUUUAUUUUCUCCUGGGCCAAACGUCUCCCUGGUGCAUCCUUGGUAGGAGGUUGGAUUCGGAGUAAUGGGCGAGUAAAGAGUUUGUCCACCGGGUGGCAGUGAAAGCUCGAGUUACGGAAGGGAUGGAUGGUCCCAGGGCUUGAACUGCUCCGCUGCGACUCCUCCGGCCUCGGUGCCUUCCCCCUGCACGUCCCAGGUCAUCAGGCUGUGGCUUUACCCACAGUGAUAAACCUCAUUCCUCUAUGUCAGGAAGCAAUAAUGUGUUAGCUCGUUUGCUAUCUAUGUCUUUAACAAACUGUAAGGAAAUAACUUCUUACCCUAGACAUACCUUCCGCGCAGAGCUGGAGGUAGCAUUGCCAACAGCCAGAAUAUGCCUGUGCUUCAGUCUUGCAGAUAUUGUCAUGUGAUAUAAAUAUAAUUAGUUUUAUAGUGUGCUUUAUCACUGUGUGUUUUGUGAACAUGUGUUCCUACCUAAUGCCCUAAUACUUUAAAACUGUUCCUCUUGCUGCAGGUGGUUGCACAAAGUGAGCCAGCUCCAUUAUGCUCGUGCAGUGGUCCCUUGGGAAAUGCUCUGACCCCAUGGCAGAGCUCUGUGGGCUCUGGGGACCUCUUACUGUUUCCUGAUACUAUUUUCUAAAUAAACCCUUAAUCACCUCUGUCACUUAACCUGAAAGGAUCCUCAGCACACUAAGUACUUUUAACACAGCUCUGUUUUGAACUUACCCAUUGCUGUUCUUUGAUGGUAUGAUGCCCACCUGCCAACCCACCUACUACCUUAGGAAGUCAUUCCCCACUAAUUCUCCCUGCAGAACAAAAGUUUUGGCUUCCACUUCUGGCAAGGAUCUGAAAGUAUUGCACAGCUGCAUGUAUUCAAACUGAAAGGGCAGGGAUCAGAGAAACCAGUCAAAGCAUAAACAGUGAGAAGUUGUCUGUGUUCAGAAUAAAUAAAGUAUGAGUGUUCGAGAAUAGCA